AUUGAACGCUGGCGGCAUGCCUUACACAUGCAAGUCGAACGGUAACAGGUCUUCGGAUGCUGACGAGUGGCGAACGGGUGAGUAAUACAUCGGAACGUGCCCGAUCGUGGGGGAUAACGGAGCGAAAGCUUUGCUAAUACCGCAUACGAUCUACGGAUGAAAGCGGGGGACCGCGAGGCCUUGCGCGGACGGAGCGGCAGAUGGAAUAUUAGGUAGUUGGCGGGAUAAAAGCUUACCAAGCCGACGAUCUGUAGCUGGUCUGAGAGGACGACCAGCCACACUGGGACUGAGACACGGCCCAGAAUCCUACGGGAGGCAGCAGUGGGGAAUUUUGGACAAUGGGCGCAAGCCUGAUCCAGCCAUGCCGCGUGCAGGAUGAAGGCCUUCGGGUUGUAAACUGCUUUUGUACGGAACGAAAAGACUCUUUCUAAUAAAGAGGGUCCAUGACGGUACCGUAAGAAUAAGCACCGGCUAACUACGUGCCAGCCGCCGCGGUAACAC
rnacentral:rRNA from 1 species